GGCAAGAUGGCCGAGUGGUCUAAGGCGUAGCAUUAAGGAAGAUAUUCUAAGCAUUCAGAAAAAUCUGCUAUCUUCGGGCGUGGGUUCGAAUCCCACUCUUGUCA
rnacentral:tRNA from 1 species